GUGUCAGCUCAUGAGCAGCAGGCAGUAGCACCUGAUGUCUUUGUUGCUAAGCUCCUGCUCCUGUCUAGCAACUGUCACCGCAGAAACUAUCCUGGGAGUGUGCCCCUGUUGCUUGGAGACGUGAACUCUGUUGACAGGCUGACAGUUUGACCCCCGCUAUGCUCUACAAUGACUGCAGCAGCAUGUCAUUCUCAUCUGGAUACACAUCGCCGCCGUCUCUCUGACUUCAACCUGAGCUCUUCUGCAUUGUAUCCCGCGGUCAAGUGUUGCCUCAUUGCUGGUGGUCAGGGGUCACGCGGGUCCAGCAAAUCUGCCCUGCCACGUGAACCAGACAAAGACGCAUUCAUCACAGCAUGCGC
ensembl:lncRNA